rnacentral:rRNA from 1 species
UACGUAGGGUGCAGGCGUUAAUCGGAAUUACUGGGCGUAAAGCGUGCGCAGGCGGUUUGCUAAGACAGGUGUGAAAUCCCCGGGCUUAACCUGGGAACUGCGCUUGUAACUGGCAAGCUAGAGUGUGGCAGAGGGGGGUGGAAUUCCACGUGUGAGCAGUGAAAUGCGUAGAGAUGUGGAGGAACACCGAUGGCGAAGGCAGCCCCCUGGGCUAACACCUGACGCUACAUGCACGAAGCGUGGGGAGCAAACAAGG